rnacentral:lncRNA from 1 species
AGAUUCCUUCCCGUCCCGCUGGGGCCGGAGGCUUCAGCUCUGGCUUGACCAGGCUCUGGCGGCCUCAGUCUCUCCAUCCCUAGGGCAGGGCGUUGAGCCAGCUCCCGGGUCAGCCCCCAUCUGCUGCUGCCUCCCUCUUUUUCCCCCCGCUGCCUGCACAAUCCCAGAGGAGGGGUGAGGACGUCAAGAGGCUGAGACCGGCAGGGGAGACCUCCACGGAGGGGUGGGGCUGGCCAAAGGUGCCCCUGGGGAAGCAAACAACCCUGCCUACCUCCCCCUCCAGGCAGCCCCAGCCGAUCGAUCCUGUAGUUGCCCAAUGGGUAUUGACCGAGGGCCUGAGGGUCAGGGUCGCUGGUCCAGAAGAGGCCGGGCAGAGGGAGGCCUGCCCCAUCCCCCACACGCUCCCUCACCUAACCCAAAAGGAGGUAGGUGACCCCUGUCCUCGUCUCCCCUCCCGGACCCCAGCCCCUUAGGGCACAACAUGGUUGAUGCUUGGGGCAGUCAUCCCCCAGAGGCCGUGGGGGCACAUUGGAGCUAGCUAGCUCAGAGGAGGCAGCCAGGGAGGGCUUCCUGGAGGAAGGAGGCCACCCUCUCAAUAUAGAAGCCUAAAAUUGUGAAAGAGUGUGCCUGGCCCAGGAAACAACCUGGCCAAAGGCAUGGCACUUCUAGAGAAGUGCUAGUGACAUGAUAGGGUUGGAGAAAGGCACAGGUGAGGGAAGGAGGGGAGGUUUUAGGGAGUGGAGGGCUGGGGUGGAAG